UACGUAGGGGGCAAGCGUUGUCCGGAUUUAUUGGGCGUAAAGAGCGUGUAGGCGGCCUGACAAGUCUGCUGUGAAAACUCGAGGCUCAACCUCGAGAUGUCGGCGGAAACUGUCUGGCUAGAGUCCGGAAGAGGAGAGUGGAAUUCCUGGUGUAGCGGUGAAAUGCGCAGAUAUCAGGAAGAACACCUAUGGCGAAGGCAGCUCUCUGGGACGGUACUGACGCUGAGACGCGAAAGCUAGGGGAGCAAACGGG
rnacentral:rRNA from 1 species